rnacentral:rRNA from 1 species
CGGAAGCCUGAUCCAGCCAUGCCGCGUGUGUGAAGAAGGCCUUAUGGUUGUAAAGCACUUUAAGCGAGGAGGAGGCUACUCUAGUUAAUACCUAGAGAUAGUGGACGUUACUCGCAGAAUAAGCACCGGCUAACUCUGUGCCAGCAGCCGCGGUAAUA